rnacentral:rRNA from 1 species
GGGGAAUUGUUCGCAAUGGGCGCAAGCCUGACGACGCAACGCCGCGUGGAGGAUGAAGGUCUUCGGAUUGUAAACUCCUGUUGCUCGGGACGAAAUGCUUCGACCUAACACGUCGAAGUUUGACGGUACCGGGUGAGGAUGCCCCGGCUAACUCUGUGCCAGCAGCCGCGGUAAUACAGAGGGGGCUAGCGUUGUUCGGAAUUACUGGGCGUAAAGCGUGCGCAGGCGGUUUUGUAAGCCAGAUGUGAAAUCCCCGGGCUUAACCUGGGAAUGGCAUUUGGGACUGCAAGGCUGGAGUGCGGCAGAGGAGACUGGAAUUCCUGGUGUAGCAGUGAAAUGCGUAGAUAUCAGGAGGAACACCGAUGGCGAAGGCAGGUCUCUGGGCUGACACUGACGCUCAUGCACGAAAGCGUGGGGAGCAAAC